AUUUGAACGGUUGCUCAAGAGAUCACACAAUCUUUAUCUUUUUUACCAUGGCUAGGUUGAGGAAGAGUUGUCGACUCACCUGAACUCGGGUUAUUUCGGUUAACAAUUUCUGCAGCAGAAAACAGCAUUCUAGCAGCACCAGCACUUCCAAUCAGUGUAGGACACAAAGGUCUUUGUUCCACUGGUCCUUCUUGUUGAAUGCGUUCAUCUUUAUCUGGUUGAAAUUGCUUGUUUGCAUUGAAAAACUUAUUGAACGAGGCUGUCAAUUCGGGACUCAACUUGUAAAGACCAAAGUUGCGAUAAUAUAGACCUUCCUUUGGAAUACGUAAAUAUUUCAUGAGAAAGUCGGCUUGAUCUAAAACCAUUUUUUGAGCAGGUUUUGCCAACGCAGAUGAUGGCAUUGCAUAAGAAAAUGUCAUUAAACCUUCGGAAAGAUGCUGAGCAAAAAAGGUAUUAUCAGACCAUACUUUAAAGCUUCCAUUACAUGAUUGAUCAUACAAUGGGCCAUUGGUGUCCAAAGCACCUCUAGCCAUAUCCUCUAAGUACGUCGGAAGCUUUUCAAUAUCUUGCAAUCCUUUAGUGAAUUCACCUAGACCCAUCAAUAAAGACAUGGCUGUCAUAGUGGUACCAGUGUUAUAAGUAAAGCGUGCCUUAUCUAAGACCCAUUUUCCGUCUUUCAAACUAAGACCGUCACAAACAAUAUGAUUUUCAUCAAGCAAGUUUUCCUGAAUCCAUCGAACACAAUUCCAAGCAAACGAAACAAGAUGUUGCUUUUUGUUAGGAUCGUCCAACGCCAGAGCAAGUCGCAAAGCAGCAACUGCAGACAUAGAAGUAGAGCAGGCAUUUAGAUUAGUCCAUGGUGGACCAGUAGUACGGGUAUGCCAAGCAAUACCUCCACGUUGCUGAUUCCAACCUUUGUUGAUAAUAAGCGAAAUUAUACUUUCUGCUCGACUAACAUAAUGAUCGCGACGUGAACUGUUUGUAGUAUAAUAGCCAGCCGUAGCCAAGCCAAUAGCUACCUGUGCAUUGUCAUCAUAAUAUACGUCGUCAUUUCCUUCAAAAUAGUGAAAAGCACAACAGGCAUUAAAAACGGGGGACCAAUAUUUCUUCAAAGCUUGGAACACAUGUUCGAAUUUCCGCUCAAACUUGCUGGUGUAUCUUAAACUGUCUGCCAUUGCUUCUGCAUAUACAGCCACGGACCAAACAAGAAAGAUAUGAUCUUUGUCAAUAGUGCCUGAACAGGCAAAGGCGCUACCCAUUCUAUCAGUGUACUUAUCAAAAAAAGUUUUAAAGCAUUGAUCUACUACAUUCAGCGCUUCGUUAAGGUAAACGUUUUCACUCAUUGUAAACUUUUUAUAAUUCCUGGUUUACAAAAAUUGUUCGUUAAUAGUAUAUUCCUGAGAAAUCGUUAAAUAAGGCAAAAAAAAUCUGCCAAAUGUACAACUUGAUAUAAAGAAAAGAAAUAACAGUUAUUUAAUAAUGAACUUCC